rnacentral:rRNA from 1 species
UACAGAGGGGGCAAGCGUUGUUCGGAAUUACUGGGCGUAAAGGGCGCGUAGGCGGCCUUCUAAGUCGAACGUGAAAUCCCCGGGCUCAACCCGGGAACUGCGUCCGAUACUGGAAGGCUUGAAUCCGGGAGAGGGAUGCGGAAUUCCAGGUGUAGCGGUGAAAUGCGUAGAUAUCUGGAGGAGCACCGGUGGCGAAGGCGGCAUCCUGGACCGGUAUUGACGCUGAGGCGCGAAAGCCAGGGGAGCAAACAGG